rnacentral:hammerhead_ribozyme from 1 species
AUCCAGCUGACGCGUCCCAAAAUAGGACUAUAUGCGCAUCCUUGAU